AUGUUCACGACCUGGCCUGCGAGGAGGCACGCGUGCAGCUCCCUCUUCUGCCACCUCCAUGGCGCCGGCAGCGCCAUGCUGUACCGCGUGCUGGACGCGGUGACGUCGGUGAAAUGCGAGACGCGGCGGGCUCGCAAGCAGAUCAAGGUGCUCGAGGCCCUCGACGUCGCCGGGACGCAGCUGUACCACUUCACCACCAUCGUCAUCGCCGGCAUGGGCUUCUUCACCGACGCCUACGACCUGUUCUCGGUCUCCCUCAUCGCCGACCUCCUGGGCCGCAUCUACUACCACUCGGCGGACGGCAAGCUUCCCGGCAAGGUCGCGGGCGCCGUUAGCGGCGUGGCGCUCUGUGGCACCGUCCUGGGGCAGCUCUUCUUCGGCUGGCUCGGCGACAGGAUGGGGCGGAAGCGGAUCUACGGCGUCACGCUCAAGCUUAUGGUGGUGUGCUCGCUCGCGUCCGGCCUCUCCUUCCACAACAAGCCCAAGUGUGUGGUAGCCACGUUGUGCUUCUUCCGCUUCUGGCUCGGCUUCGGCAUCGGCGGCGACUACCCGCUCUCCGCAACCAUCAUGUCUGAGUAUGCCAACAAGAGGACUCGGGGAGCUUUCAUAGCAGCGGUCUUCGCUAUGCAGGGUCUCGGGAACCUCGCUGCUGGGGCUGUCGUUCUGGUGCUCUCUGCGAGAUUCAAGAACACGGCCGCGUACGAGACUGACCAGCUUGGGCAAGCGGACUACGUGUGGCGCAUUGUACUCAUGCUCGGCGCCGUUCCCGCCCUCCUCACCUACUACUGGCGCAUGAAGAUGCCCGAGACGGCGCGGUACACGGCGCUAAUCGCCAAGAACCUCAAGCUAGCGGCGUCCGACAUGGCCGCGGUCCUCGACAUCGACUUCGUGUCGGAGGCGGACGCGGACGUUGUCCAGCAGGACGAGUUUGGCCUCUUCUCCAUGGAGUUCCUUCACAAGCAUGGCCGCCAGCUCCUCGGCACCACCGUCUGCUGGUUCGUCCUCGACGUCGUCUUCUACUCCCUCAAUCUCUUCAUGAAGGACAUCUUCAACAACAUCGGCUGGUUUGGAGACGCGGCCAUGAUGAGCCCUCUCGAGCAGACCUACAAGAUAGCUCGCACGCAGGCCAUCAUCGUGGUCUGCGGUUCCCUGCCAGGGUACUUCCUCACCGUCCUCUUCAUCGACCGCAUCGGCCGCAUCAAGAUCCAGCUCAUGGGGUUCACCAUGAUGACCAUCUUCAUGAUCGGGCUCGCCGCGCCCUACAAGUUCUGGUCCAAACCAAGCAUGCACGUAGGCUUCGCCAUCAUGUACGCCUUGAUCCUCUUCUUCGCAAACUUCGGGCCCAACUCCACCACCUUUAUCCUGCCCACGGAGAUAUUCCCGACGCGGCUGCGGUCGACGUGCAACGGCAUAUCGGCCGCCGGGGGUAAGUGUGGUGCCAUCAUCGGAGUUCUCUGGUUCCAGUAUUCUCACACGAGCAACCGGAGCUCUCUUCUUCUGCUGGCGGGGUGCAACCUAAUUGGAGUUAUGUUCACUCUUGCCUUGCCGGAGUCCAAAGGGAUGUCACUCGAGGAUAUCACCGGGGAAAUGGAGGAAGAAAGCGAACCACCUGGAGAAUCUGCAAUGAUUGCUGAAGCUGAGUUCAUCCACAGCGUAGAAAUUUCGUAA
rnacentral:rRNA from 1 species